rnacentral:rRNA from 1 species
GAUGAACGCUGGCGGGGUGCCUAAUACAUGCAAGUCGAGCGAAGCAGGGACGGGUAAGUAACACGAGGAUAACCACCUAUAAGAAUGGGAAAACGUAGGGAAAGCGGAGCUAAACCGGAUACGUAAAGAGGGAUCCGCGCUGCAUUAGCUAGUUGGUAAGGUAACGGCUUACCAAGGCAACGAUGCAUAGCCGACCUGAGAGGGUGAUCGGCCACACUGGAACUGAGACACGGCACAGACUCCUACGGGAGGCAGCAGUAGGGAAGCUUCCGCAAGGGGGGAAAGCCUGACGGAGCCACGCCGCGUGAGUGAUGAAGGUCUUCGGGUCGGAAAACGCUGUUAUCAGGGAAGCGGUACCUACUCAGAAAGCCCCGGCUAACUACGUGCCAGCAGCCGCGGUAAUUC